GAUGUUUUGCACAGUUUCUUCCCAACCAAAAGUUUCUUCUGCUCUCAAAAAGUAUUGGAGGUGGUGCAGCGUCCACAUCCCAAGAUGUUCCUGACAUCACUGAAGAUGUCAUCUCAGCUGCAGAAGAAACUCCUGUGACCACAUCUGUUGAAAGGGAAAACGUUGAUGCUGCUGCUGGUAAGUUUGGUCCAGCUGAACGGCCAACCACUCUCUGAUCCAGGAAGAAUGGAUUUGGUGCAAAGAGGUCCUUUUCAGACAGAUAAAGACUCUGACUUUCCAAAUUCCCCAUCAUUGAGCUGUUGUGUUCUUUAUUUUGUAUUGUUUUAUCGUUAUUUGAUUUUCUAUUAAGUUGCUGUUUUUAAUAAGUUGGAGUUUUGUGAAUGUCAUUUGUUGAGUGCCUAAUGUUACAUUAAAAAAUAUAUAUCUGACAUGGUGCCUCUGUCAAUUACCUACCUCCUCCCCCUGUCCUGAUCUGCUCUGGACUCGACCAGCUGGUUCCACCUCAUCUUCAUCCCCGCCUACUUAAGGAGAUCCAGGACCUGUUUUCAACGCCAGUCCGUUGUUCCUUCCACGGAAAUUUCCUCAUCACGAGUGAACCACGGGUCGCAAUCCUCCGCUCUCGCUCCCCUUCUUGGAUUCAGCCGAAGCCACGCACUCAGGGCCGUCCUGCCACAAACCUCCAGUCAGCCGCCACGCCACAUCAAGAAUCCUGCAAUAUACUCACCCUCUGAGAAUUAAACUCACUUAAAUC